rnacentral:misc_RNA from 1 species
CUAUCAAUCUUCGGAUUUGGUAGGCAUUGAGGUUUAUUUUUGAUUAAAUAUUCCUUGAAAUUUAGGUAGGAUAGCAUAAAUUCCAAAGUGCGGUAAGAAAAUAUCAUUUUCUCCCACUGAUAAAGGUCUAUGUUCAACUACACAAUUAAUACUUUUGAACUCUUGAUCUCAAAUCAGGUAGGAUCACCCGCUGAACUUAA